rnacentral:lncRNA from 1 species
AUGUACAUCCAGUCUGAACUCAAGGUGGUGUUACUGCCAAGCACGCGUCUCUUUCAGCAGGUCCCAGGUCUGUUUAUACCAGAGCACUGUUCCAGCUCAGUGAACCUAAGCACAACCUUCUGUUUCUCUGUGACAUCGUCAGUGACAGAAGGAGCAACUUCUAAGAAUGCAAGAAGGAUUUACCACUGCUGUGCAGGUGCAAGCUCCGCUCUGCUUCCAAACAAAAUAUUUCCUAAAACAACAUUCAGGAAAAGCGAUCUCAGAGAAGCAGCAAGAGAAGAAAUCUAUGAGCUCAAUGGUUUCAAAUUUGACUUAGAACUACUUCAGACAGAGAGAAUGAAAGACUGA